rnacentral:misc_RNA from 1 species
GAUGAAGAACGUAGCGAAAUGCGAUAAGUAAUGUGAAUUGCAGAAUUCAGUGAAUCAUCGAAUCUUUGAACGCACCUUGCGCUCCUUGGUAUUCCGAGGAGCAUGCCUGUUUGAGUGUCAUUAAAUUCUCAACCUCACCCGUUUUCUGAACGGUUCUCCGAGGCUUGGAUGUGGGGGUUUGUGCAGGCUGCCUCAGCGCGGUCUGCUCCCCUGAAAUGCAUUAGCGAGUUCGUACUGAGCUCCGUCUAUUGGUGUGAUAAUUAUCUACGCCGUGGACAGGGUUUAGACUCGCUUCUAACCGUCCGCAAGGACAAUACCUUUGACAAUUUGACCUCAAAUCAGGUAGGACUACCCGCUGAACUUAAGCAUAUCAAUAAGCGGAGGA